rnacentral:rRNA from 1 species
GCGAAUUUGCGGCGCGCUAUACAUGCAGUCGAGCGGAGAUUUGAGAGCUUGCUCUCAAAUCUUAGCGGCGGACGGGUGAGUAACACGUGGGCAACCUGCCCUGCAGACUGGGAUAACUCCGGGAAACCGGAGCUAAUACCGGGUAAUACAUCGCACCGCAUGGUGCAAUGUUGAAAGUUGGCUUUCGAGCUAACACUGCAGGAUGGGCCCGCGGCGCAUUAGCUAGUUGGUAAGGUAAUGGCUUACCAAGGCGACGAUGCGUAGCCGACCUGAGAGGGUGAUCGGCCACACUGGGACUGAGACACGGCCCAGACUCCUACGGGAGGCAGCAGUAGGGAAUCUUCCGCAAUGGACGAAAGUCUGACGGAGCAACGCCGCGUGAGUGACGAAGGCCUUCGGGUCGUAAAGCUCUGUUGUUAGGGAAGAACAAGUACCGUUCGAAUAGGGCGGUACCUUGACGGUACCUAACCAGAAAGCCACGGCUAACUACGUGCCAGCAGCCGCGGUAAUACGUAGGUGGCAAGCGUUGUCCGGAAUUAUUGGGCGUAAAGCGCGCGCAGGCGGUCUUUUAAGUCUGAUGUGAAAGCCCACGGCUCAACCGUGGAGGGUCAUUGGAAACUGGAGGACUUGAGUGCAGAAGAGGAGAGUGGAAUUCCACGUGUAGCGGUGAAAUGCGUAGAUAUGUGGAGGAACACCAGUGGCGAAGGCGGCUCUCUGGUCUGUAACUGACGCUGAGGCGCGAAAGCGUGGGGAGCAAACAGGAUUAGAUACCCUGGUAGUCCACGCCGUAAACGAUGAGUGCUAGGUGUUGGGGGGUUCCACCCUCAGUGCUGAAGUUAACACAUUAAGCACUCCGCCUGGGGAGUACGACCGCAAGGUUGAAACUCAAAGGAAUUGACGGGGGCCCGCACAAGCAGUGGAGCAUGUGGUUUAAUUCGAAGCAACGCGAAGAACCUUACCAGGUCUUGACAUCCUCUGACAAUCCUGGAGACAGGACGUUCCCCUUCGGGGGGACAAAGUGACAGGGUGGUGCAUGGGUUGUCGUCAGCUCGGGGCCGUGAGAUGUUGGGGUUAAGUCCCCGCAACGAGCCGCAACCCUUUGAUCUUAAGUUGCCAGCAUUUCAGUUGGGGCACUCUAAGGGUGACUGGCCGGUUGACCAACCCGGAAGGAAGGUUGGGGAAUGACGUCCAAAUCAUCAAUGGCCCCUUUAUGGACCUGGGGCUAACCACCGGGGCUACAAUUGGGACGGGUCC